rnacentral:rRNA from 1 species
AAAAUAUAUAUUACUGCAAAGAAGUUUUAUUUAUAGUUUGUUUUAUACCUUUUGCAUAAUGGUUUAAUUAUAUAAUAAUUAGAAUUUAUAUUCCCGAAGUUAGAAGAUCUAAUUCUAUUAUAUUUUUAGAUAUAACUAUAUAAUGUUUCAAAAUUAUAAUAAUAAAUACAAUUAGGGGUGAAAGGCUUAUCAAUUCUAACGAUAUCUGGAAUAAUUUUAAAUGUAUUUAGUACAGAAUAAAAUUUGAAUAAUGAAAUGUUAAGAUUUUUUUUUAUUUACUAGAAUAUUAAUUUAUUUUAUAUUAUGAAUUAAUCUUCCAAUAUUUUAAUAAUUUAAAAUUUUUUAUUUAUUAUAUCUAAAAUAAUAAAAUUAUAUAUUUAUUAACUUAUAUAAAAAUUAAUUAUGUUAAAAUUAGUAUAAUAUUUUUUAUUUUAAUAAGGAACUCGGCUAAUUAUUAUUCACCUGUUUAUCAAAAACAUAGUCUUAUGAAUUAAUAUAAGGUGUAACCUGCCCAUUGAAUUUAAAUUUUAACGGCCGCAGUACCUUGACUGUGCUAAGGUAGCAUAAUAAAUUGACUCUUAAUUGGGGCCUUGAAUGAAAGGAUCAAUGAAUAAUUUCUGUCUCAUUAUAAUUUAUUUUAAAUUACUUAAAAGGUGAAAAUUCCUUUAAUAUAUAAAAUAGACGAGAAGACCCUAGGAGUUUUCAAUUUUGUUGGGGCGACAAUAUAGCAUUAUAACCUAUAAUAUAUUAAUUUAUAUAACGAAUAAUUUUAAUAAUAAAUAAACUACCCUAGGGAUAACAGCAUAAUUUAAUUUUAAGUUUGUGACCUCGAUGUUGGACUAGGAACCUUUAAAGCUAACAGCGUUAAUUGAUAGUUCUGUUCGAACU